UACGGGGGGAGCAGGCGUUGUUCGGAUUUACUGGGCGUAAAGGGCGCGUAGGCGGUCAGCACAAGUCAGUUGUGAAAUCUCCGGGCUUAACUCGGAAAGGUCAACUGAUACUGUGCGACUAGAGUGCAGAAGGGGCAACUGGAAUUCUCGGUGUAGCGGUGAAAUGCGUAGAUAUCGAGAGGAACACCAGUGGCGAAGGCGAGUCCCUGGACAACACCUGACACUGAGGCACGAAAGCUAGGGGAGCAAACAGG
rnacentral:rRNA from 1 species